rnacentral:rRNA from 1 species
AUGGAGUACUAUAAUAUUUCCAACAAGAUGUUUAAUAGUGAGGAUGAAGGUUAUACAUUCUAUAACAAAUAUGGUCUUGAGAAAGGUUUUAGUGUCCGGAGAAGCUAUGUCGAGUGGGAUGGAUCCAACUGCCAUAUAAUUUUAAGGAAAUUUGUGUGUAGUCGUGAAGGGGUUCGUGAAGAGAAGCACAUGAAGAGGAAG